rnacentral:rRNA from 1 species
AUUGAACGCUGGCGGCAUGCUUUACACAUGCAAGUCGAACGGCAGCGCGGGCUUCGGCCUGGCGGCGAGUGGCGAACGGGUGAGUAAUGCAUCGGAACGUGCCCAGUAGUGGGGGAUAGCCCGGCGAAAGCCGGAUUAAUACCGCAUACGACCUGAGGGUGAAAGCGGGGGACCGAAAGGCCUCGCGCUAUUGGAGCGGCCGAUGUGGGAUUAGCUAGUUGGUGGGGUAAAGGCUUACCAAGGCGACGAUCCGUAGCUGGUCUGAGAGGACGACCAGCCACACUGGGACUGAGACACGGCCCAGACUCCUACGGGAGGCAGCAGUGGGGAAUUUUGGACAAUGGGGGCAACCCUGAUCCAGCCAUGCCGCGUGCGGGAAGAAGGCCUUCGGGUUGUAAACCGCUGUUGUUCGGGAAGAAAUCCUCUGGGCUAAUACCCCGGGGGGAUGACGGUACCGGAAGAAUAAGCACCGGCUAACUACGUG